CUCGCAUCUCUUUCCUGCUCUCUCCCUCAAUUACUUCUUUUAUGCAAUCCCUUAUCACAUCUCUUCCAACAACCCCUUUCUCACCCAUUGGAGCUCUAAUUCCCAUUUUCCAAACAUCCAUAAUAUACUUGGCGUUGGUGCUUUGGUCUGUCCACUGUGGCAUUGCCACCAUUGGCACUCCCAAACUCAAUGCCUCCAAGGUUGAGUUCCAUCCACAAUGUGUGAGAAAGCAUCCCACUGCUUCAUCUGCUAAGACCUCUAGCUGUGGAC
rnacentral:misc_RNA from 1 species